rnacentral:rRNA from 1 species
AUGAAGGUUGUAAAGUCAUGCAAUCUUUGUUCUACUGGAGGAGAUAAUUAUGACACUAGUAAAACUAUCCUUCUGGAGGAAAUUCUCCCAUGGUUUGGUACGCCAAUUGAGUGCUCAGUGAAUUCAUUUACUUUCUCAAAAAGCAAGGCUGAAGCAGUAAUAUGUCAGAGAGACGCUAUGUACAAGUCAAUGCUAGAGAAGCUCCAUCAUUUUUUCUUAAAUAUUGAGAUAAUUCCUUUUGGUCCUCCGUCAAACUCCCUGCAUAAAAGUAAAAGCCCUCUAGACACAUCAGUUUCAGAUGUGGAGCUAUUGUAUGGCGGCACCCAUGCUCUACCAAUUUGUGAUAUUAUGUCUGCAGAUGAAAAAGACAAUGAUGCUUAUUCAACAUCGCAAGAAUCUUCAGAUAAACUAGAUCCACUGGAAUCUUCAGAAUGCUCUUCUUCUUAUAGUUCUAUGGAUGAAAUUGAGGUUGAGAGUGGCAUCACUUGUGGUAAUUUGUCUAGUUCCAGGUUUUCAUUGUACUAUACAAGUACAGGUGAAGCAAAAUGCUCCUCAGAAACCCAAAAUGUGCUUUCAUAUCAAACUAGUUCUCAUCACAACGGGACAAACUCUGCAAGCCCUAAUGAUGAGCACCAUAGAAAUGUUGAUUUGGGUUGCAGCAACGUUCCCAUGCACUCGCAGAAUGUGGAACAUAAUGUGAUGCCUGAUGCUCUAGAACUGGAUUACCAGUAUAGUAAAUUUUGGCCAUUUGGCAAAUUUCCAAAGAACACAUUUAAUAGUUCCCCUGGAAAAAUGUGUUUAGUUGAUGAGUUUCUGUAUACUAACAAUGAAAGUGCAGUGGAGCAAGUAUCACAUGAUGAUGUAGUUUAUCCAUCACACACAGAGAAGUCUUGCAAUUCUAGCAUUCCUUACAAUCUCAGCACCAAUCCCAUUCUGAAGAAUGCGGCUGGUCAUCAUAUGGAGAGUGACUUGCGAGGAAAAUGGAAAAAUCAAGCACUUAAAAGCUUUGCUUUUGAGUCGGUCACGAAUCCAUGUGAAGUAUACUGUGAAAGAAGCACGCCCCUUGUGGAGUCUGAAGCCGGAGCUACAAAGGUUGUACAUUCCACUGCUCAGAUUUCUAAACAGCCUGAUUGUUCCAGUGAGCUUCUUCAAGCUAAGACAGGGAGUCAGGGAUACCUUGCUUCAUCAGGAGAAACAGAAGCAAGUGAUAAUCUUCCAAAAAAUGUCUGCGGGGGAGCAUUAUGGGAGAAAUUGUUAGAAUAUACUGCUAAAUCAACAGAAAAGAUAGCUGGAGAUAGUAGUUCAGCAUCUGAUAUGCCACUUGAUAUAGCUAUUGACAAGUGCAUUAUACAAGAAAUUCUGCUUCAAUAUAAAUAUGUUAGCAGCUUCACAAUGAAGUUGCUUGAGGAGGGUUUUGAUCUUUGUGGACAUCUACUAGCACUACGACGGUACCAUUUCAUGGAACUAGCUGACUGGGCAGAAUCUUUUAUUGUUUCCAUUUAUCAUAAGAAAUGGUUCUCUGUUAAGUCUGAGCAGAAAAGAGCAGAGAUCCAAGGGCUUCUUGACUUGGCCUUGCAGAGGUCUUCAUGUGAUACCGAUCCUUAUAAGGAAAAACUGUUUAUAUACAUGAAAGAACAGCCAGUCACUUCUGUGGCAGCCUCUGAACAUGUUUUGGCGGCCAGGUUUCCACAUGCUGGAUGA